GGAAAGUUAAUUGCCCCGGCGGGCGACCUAGUCUUGAAAACUAGUGGUACCGAAAGGUAUGGGGGUCGGCACCUCAGCUUUCCGCCA
rnacentral:tRNA from 1 species